rnacentral:rRNA from 1 species
UACGAGGGGGGCGAGCGUUGUUCGGAAUUAUUGGGCGUAAAGGGUGCGUAGGCGGGUCUUUAAGUCAGGGGUGAAAUCCUGGAGCUCAACUCCAGAACUGCCUUUGAUACUGAGGAUCUUGAGUUCGGGAGAGAUGAGUGGAACUGCGAGUGUAGAGGUGAAAUUCGUAGAUAUUCGCAAGAACACCAGUGGCGAAGGCGGCUCACUGGCCCGAUACUGACGCUGAGGCACGAAAGCGUGGGGAGCAAACAGG